rnacentral:rRNA from 1 species
GAUGAACGCUGGCGGCGUGCCUAAUACAUGCAAGUCGAGCGAACGGACGAGAAGCUUGCUUCUCUGAUGUUAGCGGCGGAAGGGUGAGUAACACGUGGAUAAACUACCUAUAAGACUGGGAUAACUUCGGGAAACCGGAGCUAAUACCGGAUGAUAUUUUGAACCGCAUGGUUCAAAAGUGAAAGACGGUCUUGCUGUCACUUAUAGAUGGAUCCGCGCUGCAUUAGAUGGUUGGUAAGGUAACGGCUUACCAAGGCAACGAUGCAUAGCCGACCUGAGAGGGUGAUAGCCCACACUGGAGCGGAGACACGGUCCCGAGUCCUGCGGGAGGCACCAGUAGGGAAUCUUCCGCAGUGGGGGAGAGCCUGACGGAGCAACGCGGCGUGAGUGAUGAAGAUCUUCGGAUCGUAAAACUCUGUUAUUAGGGAAGAACAUAUGUGUAAGUAAAUGUGCACAUCUUGACGGUACCUAAUCAGAAAGCCACGGCUAACUACGUG